CAGGGAUUGGCGAAAGGCCAGUGUUAAAGCCACCAAAUGAAAAACAGUCGAAGGGAUCAAACAAAAGCUACAUUGUAGUGGCUUAAAGAAAACGAAGUCGACGCUGGAGCCAAAUCCAGAUCCAGAGAGUCAGGGGGUGACCAGAGUGGGGAAAUAACUUUAAAGCAAAAUGACAAGAUCGAACAUCUGUCUAUGUGCAGGUGCAGUGUACCUCAGCGCUCAGCUGUCCUGCCUUUAUUUUACCGCAAUCCUUCCUUUUUGAUCCCAGCUUUCUAUUUCAAACAAAUACCAAGUGCUGUACUCACAAAGUAAGGGACGAAGAAACAGGCAAGACUUUGGUAAAGUGCAUCCAGGAUGGUGUACCAG